rnacentral:rRNA from 1 species
AGAGUUUGAUCAUGGCUCAGAUUGAACGCUGGCGGCAGGCCUAACACAUGCAAGUCGAACGGUAACAGGAAGCAGCUUGCUGCUUUGCUGACGAGUGGCGGACGGGUGAGUAAUGUCUGGGAAACUGCCUGAUGGAGGGGGAUAACUACUGGAAACGGUGGCUAAUACCGCAUAACGUCGCAAGACCAAAGAGGGGGACCUUCGGGCCUCUUGCCAUCAGAUGUGCCCAGAUGGGAUUAGCUUGUUGGUGAGGUAACGGCUCACCAAGGCGACGAUCCCUAGCUGGUCUGAGAGGAUGACCAGCCACACUGGAACUGAGACACGGUCCAGACUCCUACGGGAGGCAGCAGUGGGGAAUAUUGCACAAUGGGCGCAAGCCUGAUGCAGCCAUGCCGCGUGUAUGAAGAAGGCCUUCGGGUUGUAAAGUACUUUCAGCGGGGAGGAAGGUGUUGUGGUUAAUAACCACAGCAAUUGACGUUACCCGCAGAAGAAGCACCGGCUAACUCCGUGCCAGCAGCCGCGGUAAUACGGAGGGUGCAAGCGUUAAUCGGAAUUACUGGGCGUAAAGCGCACGCAGGCGGUCUGUCAAGUCGGAUGUGAAAUCCCCGGGCUCAACCUGGGAACUGCAUUCGAAACUGGCAGGCUUGAGUCUUGUAGAGGGGGGUAGAAUUCCAGGUGUAGCGGUGAAAUGCGUAGAGAUCUGGAGGAAUACCGGUGGCGAAGGCGGCCCCCUGGACAAAGACUGACGCUCAGGUGCGAAAGCGUGGGGAGCAAACAGGAUUAGAUACCCUGGUAGUCCACGCCGUAAACGAUGUCCUACUUGGAGGUUGUGCCCUUGAGGCGUGGCUUCCGGAGCUAACGCGUUAAGUAGACCGCCUGGGGAGUACGGCCGCAAGGUUAAAACUCAAAUGAAUUGACGGGGGCCCGCACAAGCGGUGGAGCAUGUGGUUUAAUUCGAUGCAACGCGAAGAACCUUACCUGGUCUUGACAUCCACAGUGAGACAGGUGCUGCAUGGCUGUCGUCAGCUCGUGUUGUGAAAUGUUGGGUUAAGUCCCGCAACGAGCGCAACCCUUAUCCUUUGUUGCCAGCGGUUAGGCCGGGAACUCAAAGGAGACUGCCAGUGAUAAACUGGAGGAAGGUGGGGAUGACGUCAAGUCAUCAUGGCCCUUACGACCAGGGCUACACACGUGCUACAAUGGCGCAUACAAAGAGAAGCGACCUCGCGAGAGCAAGCGGACCUCAUAAAGUGCGUCGUAGUCCGGAUUGGAGUCUGCAACUCGACUCCAUGAAGUCGGAAUCGCUAGUAAUCGUGGAUCAGAAUGCCACGGUGAAUACGUUCCCGGGCCUUGUACACACCGCCCGUCACACCAUGGGAGUGGGUUGCAAAAGAAGUAGGUAGCUUAACCUUCGGGAGGGCGCUUACCACUUUGUGAUUCAUGACUGGGGUGAAGUCGUAACAAGGUAACCGUAGGGGAACCUGCGGUUG